AGCGAUGCAUCAGGAGCAUGCGACGGCAGCAGGGCAUGCGACUCGAUGAGCGGUAUGUUCCAUACUUGCAGAUGGCCAGAUUAUACCAUCUUGCGAGGUUCGACGAUAGAUGGUUCUAGUUAGAUGAGCCCCUUGUCAGUGCCUUCGUCGAGCGGUGGCGUCCGGAGACGCACACCUUCCAUAUGCCGUUCAGAGAGUGCACUAUCACACUUCAGGACGUGGCGUACCAGUUGGGGUUGCCAGUGGAUGGGCAUUAUGUCAGUGGUUGCCUUACAGAUUUUCAGAUAUACAUCCAGGGUGGCCGUCCAGCUUGGGUGUGGUUCCAGGAGUUGCUUGGAGUGAUUCCUCCUCCGAGCCAGGUUUAGAAGUUCGCAGUAAACUGUACCUGGUUCCAGGAGACUUUUGGAGAGUGCCCUAAGGGAGCCGAUGAGGAGACUGUGCGACGCUUUGCUCGUGCCUACAUCAUGAUAUUGUUGGGCACUCAGCUGUUUUUCGACAAGUCCGGGAACCGCAUUCACAUCAGAUGGCUUCCCUACGUAGCUAGGCUUGAGGAGAUGGGGACCUACAGCUGGGGGUCUGCAGUACUGGCAUGGUUGUACCGGUGCAUGUGCCGAGUGGCGAACAAACAUGUGGUCAAGUUAGCGGGCCCACUUCAGCUACUUCAGUCCUGGAACUUCUGGCGCUUUCCUAGGUUUAGGCUUACUGGGUAUGAUACGUGCAGCUGGCCGUUGGCCUCGAGGUGGUCAGGUUACAGCCCUUCCGGUAGCGAGAAGGGUCCUAGAGUGUAGAUGUGGAGACUGAGGAUAGACAUGUUACAGGACAGGGAUUUUAUCUGGAUGCCGUAUAGCUUGCCCGAGGUACUGCAGGUUGUGCAUCCAGAGGCAUUGGAGUCUCGGCAUACGACGUUCUGGCGAUCUGUGAUGUCACUGAUAUACUUUGCCGUCAUAGAGUGGCAUCAGAUAGAUAUGGUUCUACCACAGUUCGGUGGAGUCCAGCCCCGUCCGCAUCCCGCCCUGAACAUCGACUUUCUGAUGUCAAAGGACGGCAGAGGCGGUGAUUGUUGGUUCCCGUAUGCUUUGCAGUCAUGGCAUCUCCAUUGGGUGGCCCGUGCGGACCACGUGCUCAGGUUCGAUGUUGUUGCAGACCCUGAACCAUCACAUGAGUUCCUGGAGUGGUGGAGUUAGCAUGGAAAGAGGUUAUUGUCUCUAGAGAUGUACUUGGGUGAUCCGAGAGCCGUUCCUAUUCCUGUGGAGGCGUCACAGAGGGGUGCUGGACGAGUUCCUGACAUGGAUCGUGUUGACGACGUGCCAGACAGGCGUCGGGUCGAGAGGAGAGUUCGUCUGGCGACACGACGGAGCUAGCGUGAGUGGAGGUGGCUAGACCAGGCUAUGGACGAGGCUGACGGGGGCGGUCGACAUGGAGGUGAACGAUGAGGGCAUGGAGGGAAAUGGAGAGGGCAUGCUGCGGCGACCAAGCACGGUGAUCAUGGUGACGACGAUAACGACAAUCAGCACGGGCCCGUUGGGGGGUUGCUGCAGGGCAUGUGGCAGUUGGUGGUGUUAGUCCCCAUGAUGGCGGAUAUGGAGGCGAGUGGUAUGGGUCAGGUAUGGGUGACGGGGCUGACUCUGGUGAUGGUGGACUUGGUUCGGGGCCGCUUGGAGAUUACUUCGUUGGUGUACUAGCCCAUAACUAGACCCUUCAAGAGAGUAUGCCAUGGGUUAGUCCGGGGUCGAUGUUUUCAGAAUUCCUUGCAUUAGAUGGGCUUGAUGCGGACUUCGGCGGGUCACACUUUCUAGACGAGAUUACUGCCAUCAUGCAGGAGGAUGUGGCGGCCCGUAGGCGUGGUCAGAACUCUGGCACACAGGCACCUUUAGAUGUUGAUGUGAACGAGCCUCCUACGAUGCCUGUUGCUGACCAUUUUGCAUUGGGGGGUACCCCUCCUUUCGCAUACACUGCUACGUCACAUUCAGUUGCCGGGCCAUCUGUGGCACCCGUCCAGCCUAGGCCACCUGCACAGCCUGCCCCGGAUGAUGAGGAGGAUGAGAUCGAGGACGAGGAGCCGCUUAUCCACAGAGGUCAGAGGACACGGGUACCCUGUCGUUGCUUCACCGGCUUGCAUCUGUUUAGAUGAUUCAUGUGUCAUGUAUGUUGUUUGUUCAUGUUCAUUGUUGUAUGUUAGCCAGUUUUACUUUUGUCGUUGAUGUACACUGACGAUCGAAUAUGU